AAGCAAGUCCAAAAGGGAGACAGAAAGAGAAGGAGGAGAGCAGGGUCUGGCUCUUUUACCAAUUUGGACUUGAGAAAGAAAGAGAAGAAAAGAAAACACACCGCGUAUUCUGAGACUUCUAUAACCAGCCUUUCUGUGUUCCAUGAGGGAAAGGGAAGUCGAGCUGUUUUGCAAUAAUUCCUCCAAAUCUUCAGACUCUGGCAGCACAAGAAAAAUACUAAGGAGCAGAGACCACACCUUUCCCACAUUGAGUUCAGUGGAACAUGAACUCAGCUGCCUGCGUCGUUCUUCAAAGACACAGCUGCAGGAUAGCUUCAGCUGCACUGGUUUGGAAACCCUCAAAACUGCUUUAAGGAUGUCAAGCUGGGCCUCCAUCCCAUAAUUCCUCCAGGUGAUUUAAAGGUGACAGUCUCCCAGGAAGAAGCUUUCCUAUCUGGGACUUCCCACCAGACCUCAUUUCCGAGCAUCGCUGCAGUCCUGAAGUGAGACCCUCCAG
rnacentral:lncRNA from 1 species